AUUCAUCUGACGAGUCCAACAUAGGACGAAACCCACGUCCUAGAU
rfam:Schistosoma haematobium scaffold278_4, whole genome shotgun sequence.